rnacentral:lncRNA from 1 species
UUGUGUUUCUGAGUGCACGUGUUUAUGCUUGUGUUGUGUGAAGCUCUGUUAUCUAAUAUUUGUGUAUGGAUUUGAAAACCUAAUGAAGAUAAAUUGAGUGUUAUUCAGUAUUUAUGAGAAAGCCAAGUAGAGAUAGUUAUAGAUGGAGGUUGAACUUCUGUCCCGACACUUAGACUUUGGUUGAGUUUUAUGAGAAUGCUGUAGCAGAGCCAGGAAAACAAAAAAAAAAGAGUAGAAAAUAUCUCAAGUUUG